UUUAAAACUAUAUUUUUUUUUAUUAUUAAACUUAGUUUUCGAGAUAACGUUUUUUUCUUUCUUUUUUUUUUUUGUUUUUCUUGGUAUUUUCUUCCCCUCCCCACGCCCAAUCCGAGAGCCGGCUGGCACCAACGUGUGUUGCCGAAAUUAGGUAACAAUGCAUCUAGUGUGUUUAGGUGUAAUGAAACGGUUAAUUACUUUUUGGGUAAAAGGAAAUAGAGCUGUAAGAAUUAUGACUCAAAUAUAACUAAAGUUUGCGGACAUUUGUCAACAUUUAGAUCUUGCAUACCGACAGAAUUUGCUCGGCUUCCACGAUCAAUUUUAGAUAUUAAUCGAUGGAAAGCAACUGAAUUAAGACAGUUUCUGUUAUACACUGGUCCUAUUGUGUUAAAGGGAAAUUUAAGUUCCCGUGAAUUUGAUCAUUUCUUAAGCCUUCACUGUGCUAUAAGAAUUUUAAUCGAUGAAAAUUUGUGUCACAAAUAUAAUGAUUUUGCUAAAACAUUAUUAGAGUUUUUUAUAGAAAAUUUUGGUGACCUUUAUGGUGCUGAAUUCGUGAAUCACAACGUUCAUAAUUUAAUUCAUUUACCAAACGAAGUAAAAAAAAAUGGUGUUUUGGACAAUUUUAGUUCAUUUAAAUUUGAAAACACUAUGUAUGAAAUAAAGCUACAUUUAAAAACCUCAAAUAAAGCUCUCAAACAAUUAAUUAAUAGAGUUGAUCAAAUCAGAACGCAUAGUAAAGCAGAGGAGCCAGUUAAAUUUCCUCAACUUAAAAGGCAAAGAUUAGUUUUUAUUAGUACAAAGAAAUUCAAAAAUAAGUGACAAAAUCUUUUUGCACUGUUAUGCAUUUGAUAAGAUUCAACCAUAUUUUGAUCUACCGUGCAAAUCAACAAUAUUUCAUAAUGGUAUUUCAAAGAAUGUGAAUAACGUACUUGACAAAGUAGAAGUAACUCAAGUUAUUGGCAAAUGUAUACGUUACAAAGAUUACAUUACAAUGAGUUUUAUUGUUAUAAUAAUAAACAAAACAAAUUUUUAAACAAUGGUAUUAUAAUGUUUAAAAUUAAAACCUAAAAAGUAAAUUAAAUGACAGUUUGGUAAUGCAUGGCUCAUAUUAUAACACUAUAAACAACCUAAUAAUCAGAAUUAACAAAAUAUAAUCUUUCUUACCUAUCGGUGUAAACAACAGUAAAAAAUUAAAAUUAUUAUGGACUUAUUUUAAACUCGAACAAGUAUGUCAACAUAAUUUUAUUAUUAUAUUUGAUAAACUAAUAUUUUCCCCAUAAAAUCAUUACCAAAAGUUUGGACAACUUGUCAGCCGAUAUUAUAAAUUUCGAUUAAAUUUUAAUAAUAAUUUUAAUAAUAAGACAUUUAGACAAAAAUUGUUUUGAAUGUGUAUGUGUAAUUUCAAAAUUGGCCGUUGUUAAGGUAAUUAAGAACACAAUUCUUACUUAUACAAAAAUUUCAUUUGUUUUUUAGGCGUUGUACACUUUAGCCCAUUUUAAAGACCAAUUCUAUUCUGCCGUCCCAUCGUCUUGGCUUGUCGAAGAGAAGGAUAGUUUUUAUUGUUACUGGCCAGUUAAUAAAAAAAAUGUUCGUAAUUUAAUUAUUCGAAAUUCUAAACCAGGUGCCGACUGGCAGCUGCAUGAAGUUUCAGUUUUAAAACAAUUUAGUAAAUAGACAUAAAUUUGAUAUACUUAUUCCUAUUUAAUAAUCAUUAUCAUUAUAACUAGACACCUACGAAGAAGCCUUAGAAAAAGAGAAGUAUUUUACCAGCAGCGGAUUAUCAACAUCUUCAGAAGCAGAUGAAAUUAUAAGAAGGAAAAAAUAUAAAAGAAAAACUAAGACUUUUAAAGUAGCAAAUGGCGGAGAUUUGCCUGAAUUAAUUGAAGAAAUUGAUAAAUUUCUUUAACAAUAUACUAUCCCUUAUUCUAAAAGAUUGCUCUUUUAUUAACAGUUGACUCUUCUACACAAAAUACAGACCACGAUGGGAUUAUAAAUUUACGUCAAGUUAUUAUUGAAUUAUUGACGGAAAACAAUUUGCCAGAGAUCGCCAACAGUUUGUCACAUGAUGAUCAAAAUUCGUCAAAACAAGGUACAGGUACAGAUCAAAAUUGUGUACCUGCCAAAAAAAAAAACAAUGGAGGAGUGCUUCUUAGAAAUAAAAAAUGAAUUGGCAAUUAUUUCUGUAAGAUUGCAUAACAUCGAGGUAAAACUUGAAGCAAAUAGCUUGGCUGAUAAUCAAGUGACACUUCCAAAAAUGCCACUGGAAAACAUAAGAGAAAUGGUUUUCUUUGAGGACACUCUUGAAAAGGAUCACGAUGUGACUAAAGUUUUUCUGGAAAGAAUGACAUAUAUAGGCGGCUAUAAUGAAAGAAACUGUAUUAACAGAUGUCUUCAAAACUACAUUACAAUUUAUGUCGCCACAUUUUGUUAGUUGGACAGGACAAAAAAAUAAUAUUAAAAUGUCUGGUUUAUAAAGUCAAUGUUAAUUAUAAAAGAUGCACUAAAGUCUAAUUAUAAGACAAUGACAAACAGAAGUUUCCAAAAUGGGGUAAUGGAGUGGCUGAAACAUGCAAAUCAGCGCAAUUUGCGAGAAAAACAACACGUAAUGAAAUCGCC